rnacentral:rRNA from 1 species
UACGAAGGGGGCUAGCGUUGUUCGGAAUCACUGGGCGUAAAGGGCGCGUAGGCGGCCGAUCAAGUCGGGGGUGAAAGCCUGUGGCUCAACCACAGAAUUGCCUUCGAUACUGUUUGGCUUGAGACCGGAAGAGGUUAGUGGAACUGCGAGUGUAGAGGUGAAAUUCGUAGAUAUUCGCAAGAACACCAGUGGCGAAGGCGGCUGACUGGUCCGGUUC